rnacentral:rRNA from 1 species
AUGGCCUCUCCCUUCCUCCCCUCAUCGCUUCUCUCCAGCGUCGCCGCCCUCGACCCGCCUCGCCGUCGCCUUGGCCUGGAGCCCGCGACUGGAGCUCCUUCGGACCACACGGCCGCUGGCCACGGAGGCCACCGUGCCGGCCCUAAAGCGCGUCGCCCUGCGCCCACGUCCCCGCUGCCAACUCUCCUCGCCGAAGGAGCACUGGGAGGAGUGGAGCACCGCCGUCGUCGCCUCGUUCCCUGCUUCCCCGGGCUCUUCAUCGCGAGGUCCAGCAAGUCUGGCGCCUCCCCAAGCCCAGCGACUGUCCCGGUCACCUCCGGCCGCCAGGAUCCACCAGCAAGCCGCCGUUGCCUCUGCUUCACGGAACCAUGCCACGGCGCCCCAGUCACCUGCGACCUCGGGUCGUCUCUGCUUCGUCCUCUCCUCACGUCAUGCCUCUGCUCGCGUACGUGUUCACCGCACCGUCGUCACAGCGCCUCCCCAAGUUCUGCCCCUGCCUCGUUCGGCUACCAUGACCGCACCUCCUCGUUGCUGCUCUGCUCGACGCGCCCUUCUUCCUUGCCUUUCUUCGCACCGGAGCAAGCCGCAACCACCGAACCAGGAAACGCCAAGGACAUCUUCGGGGUUUUCGUCAAGUCCCAUUCCAUUGAACGUACACGCAACACCGACGUCCACAAGUACCUUUUGCUAGCCGUCCACACCGACCACAUCAAGCCGGCAAGUCCAAAGACCCCAAUGUACCCGUGGACGUCAAGUACCUCUACUGAAGACACCCGCCGAAGACAUGUGUACGACUACUACAUGAACGAGCACCACGACGACCCUCGAAGAGUUCGGAUUCGUCAAGUUCAUCUAUGUGUGUGUACAACUACACAUAUGGGAUGCGUCGAGUACCUCUACGGAAGACCCGAACAUCUACGAACCGUGUGCGACGACCGUUGCCGAAGACCGUCGAGUGAACGUCUACCCACGCCAUGUUUUUUUGAUGAAGUUCGAUGA